rnacentral:snRNA from 1 species
GCACUUACCUGCCAGGGGUGAUACCAUGAUCAUGAAAGUGGUUUUCCCAGGGCAAGUCUUAUCCAUUGCAUUCCGCAUGCACUGACGCCUGAGAUUUUCCAAGUGGGAAACUCAACUGCAUAUUUUACUGUAGUGGAGAACUGCAUUUACGCUCUCCGG